AUGCAUUGGAAGCAACGAGCCCAUGUUAAAUGGCUGCAUGCUGGUGACAAAAAUACAUCUUUCUUUCAUGCUUUUGCCUCCGAAAGGAAGAGAAGGAAUCCCAUCAAGAAAUUGAAAAGGGAAGACGGUAGUUGGGUGGAGGGGCAAGAACAUUUGAAAGAGCAUAUUGCAAACUACUUUUUAAAAAUAUUCUCCUCCACGACAGAAAGAGAUAAUAGGGAAAUUAUGCAAAUGGUGCAGCCAAAGGUGACAUCAGAGAUGAAUGACAUGAUAUGUGCUGAUUAUACAGAAGAGGAAGUAAAAAGAGCAUUAGACAACAUAGGUGAUUUAAAAGCACCGGGACCAGAUGGUAUGCCAGCCAUCUUCUUUAAAAGAUUUUGGCAAACUGUGGGGAACCAGAUCACUAGAGAAGUUCUUCAUAUACUGAGAGGAGGAGAUAUGCCUGAAGGAUGGAACGAUACACUAGUAGUGCUUAUUCCGAAGAAUGCCAACCCUUUGAGCAUAAAGGACCUAAGACCUAUUAGCCUGUGUAAUGUGGUGUAUAAGGUGGUCUCUAAGGUAAUCACAAAUAGACUCAAAGUAAUUCUCCCCAACAUCAUCUCCCUCAAC
rnacentral:rRNA from 1 species